rnacentral:rRNA from 1 species
UCCAGACUCCUACGGGAGGCAGCAGUGGGGAAUAUUGCACAAUGGGGGGAACCCUGAUGCAGCGACGCCGCGUGGGCGAAGAAGUAUUUCGGUAUGUAAAGCCCUAUCAGCAGGGAAGAAGAAAUGACGGUACCUGAGUAAGAAGCCCCGGCUAACUACGUGCCAGCAGCCGCGGUAAUACGUAGGGGGCAAGCGUUAUCCGGAUUUACUGGGUGUAAAGGGAGCGUAGACGGCGAAGAAAGUCUGAAGUGAAAGCCCGCGGCUUAUCCGCGGAACUGCUUUGGAAACUUUUUUGCUGGAGUACCGGAGAGGGAAGCGGAAUUCCUAGUGUAGCGGUGAAAUGCGUAGAUAUUAGGAGGAACACCAGUGGCGAAGGCGGCUUACUGGACGGUAACUGACGUUGAGGCUCGAAAGCGUGGGGAGCAAACAGGAUUAGAGACCCUCGUAAAA